rnacentral:rRNA from 2 species
UUAAUUGAAGAGUUUGAUCAUGGCUCAGAUUGAACGCUGGCGGCAGGCCUAACACAUGCAAGUCGAGCGGCAGCACAGAGGAACUUGUUCCUUGGGUGGCGAGCGGCGGACGGGUGAGUAAUGCCUGGGAAAUUGCCCGGUAGAGGGGGGAUAACCAUUGGAAACGAUGGCUA